rnacentral:rRNA from 1 species
UACGAAGGGGGCUAGCGUUGUUCGGAAUUACUGGGCGUAAAGCGUACGUAGGCGGGUUGUUAAGUCAGGGGGUGAAAUCCUGGAGCUCAACUCCAGAACUGCCUUUGAUACUGGCAACCUAGAGACUGGAAGAGGUUAGUGGAAUUCCCAGUGUAGAGGUGAAAUUCGUAGAUAUUGGGAAGAACACCAGUGGCGAAGGCGGCUAACUGGUCCAGCACUGACGCUGAGGUGCGAAAACGUGGGGAGCAAAACAGGAUUGAGAAACCCUAGGUAGU